GAUGAACGCUGGCGGCGUGCCUAAUACAUGCAAGUCGAGCGAACGGACGAGAAGCUUGCUUCUCUGAUGUUAGCGGCGGACGGGUGAGUAACACGUGGAUAACCUACCUAUAAGACUGGGAUAACUUCGGGAAACCGGAGCUAAUACCGGAUGAUAUUUUGAACCGCAUGGUUCAAAAGUGAAAGACGGUCUUGCUGUCACUUAUAGAUGGAUCCGCGCUGCAUUAGCUAGUUGGUAAGGUAACGGCUUACCAAGGCAACGAUGCAUAGCCGACCUGAGAGGGUGAUCGGCCAGACGGGAACUGAGGCAGGGUCCAGACUCCUACGGGAGGCAGCAGUGGGGAAUCUUCCGGAAUGGGCGAAAGCCUGACGGAGCAACGCCGCGUGAGUGAUGAAGGUCUUCGGAUCGUAAAACUCUGUUAUUAGGGAAGAACAUAUGUGUAAGUAACUGUGCACAUCUUGACGGUACCUAAUCAGAAAGCCACGGCUAACUACGUG
rnacentral:rRNA from 1 species